rnacentral:rRNA from 1 species
GGUGCUAACGUCCGUAGUCAAGAGGAAAACAAUCCAGACCGCCAGCUAAGGCCCCAAAAUCAUAGUUAAGUGGGAAACGAUGUGGGAAGGCAUAGACAGCUAGGAGGUUGGCUUAGAAGCAGCCACCCUUUAAAGAAAGCGUAAUAGCUCACUAGUCGAGUCGGCCUGCGCGGAAGAUGUAACGGGGCUAAAACUAUGUGCCGAAGCUGCGGAUGUAUACUUUGUAUACGUGGUAGGGGAGCGUUCUGUAAGCCGAUGAAGGUGUGUUGAGAAGCAUGCUGGAGGUAUCAGAAGUGCGAAUGCUGACGUGAGUAACGACAAAACGGGUGAAAAACCCGUUCGCCGAAAGACCAAGGGUUCCAGUCCAACGUUAAUCGGGGCUGGGUGAGUCGACCCCUAAGGCGAGGCCGAAAGGCGUAGUCGAUGGGAAAAUGGUUAAUAUUCCAUUACUUCUGUGUAAUGCGAUGAGAGGACGGAGAAGGCUAAAUCAGCCUGGCGUUGGUUGUCCAGGUGAAAGGAUGUAGGCAUGUAUCUUAGGCAAAUCCGGGGUACUCUAUGCUGAGAUCUGAUAGCAAGCUGUACUUGUACAGCGAAGUGGUUGAUGCCAUGCUUCCAGGAAAAGUCUCUAAGCUUCAGUUACACAGGAAUCGUACCCGAAACCGACACAGGUGGUCAGGUCGAGUAGACCAAGGCGCUUGAGAGAACUCUGCUGAAGGAACUAGGCAAAAUGGUACCGUAACUUCGGGAGAAGGUACGCUGUUGUUGGUGAUGGAACUCGCUUCCUGAGCUGACGACAGCCGCAGAAACCAGGCCGCUGCAACUGUUUAUUAAAAACAUAGCACUCUGCAAACACGAAAGUGGACGUAUAGGGUGUGAUGCCUGCCCGGUGCUGGAAGGUUAAUUGAUGGGGUUAGCGUAAGCGAAGCUCUUGAUCGAAGCCCCAGUAAACGGCGGCCGUAACUAUAACGGUCCUAAGGUAGCGAAAUUCCUUGUCGGGUAAGUUCCGACCUGCACGAAUGGCAUAAUGAUGGCGGCGCUGUCUCCAGCAGAGGCUCAGUGAAAUCGAAAUCGCUGUGAAGAUGCAGUGUACCCGCGGCUAGACGGAAAGACCCCGUGAACCUUUACUGCAGCUUGACACUGAACUUUGACCUUACUUGUGUAGGAUAGGUGGGAGGCUUUGAAGCUGGAACGCUAGUUCCAGUGGAGCCGUCCUUGAAAUACCACCCUGGUAAUGUUGAGGUUCUAACUCUGUCCCGUGAUCCGGGACGAGGACCGUGUCUGGUGGGUAGUUUGACUGGGGCGGUCUCCUCCUAAAGAGUAACGGAGGAGUACGAAGGUGCGCUCAGCGUGGUCGGAAAUCACGCGUAGAGUAUAAAGGCAAAAGCGCGCUUAACUGCGAGACCCACAAGUCGAGCAGGUACGAAAGUAGGUCUUAGUGAUCCGGUGGUUCUGUAUGGAAGGGCCAUCGCUCAACGGAUAAAAGGUACUCUGGGGAUAACAGGCUGAUACCGCCCAAGAGUUCAUAUCGACGGCGGUGUUUGGCACCUCGAUGUCGGCUCAUCUCAUCCUGGGGCUGAAGCAGGUCCCAAGGGUAUGGCUGUUCGCCAUUUAAAGAGGUACGCGAGCUGGGUUUAGAACGUCGUGAGACAGUUCGGUCCCUAUCUACCGUGGGCGCUGGAAAUUUGAGAGGAUCUGCUCCUAGUACGAGAGGACCAGAGUGGACGAACCUCUGGUGUACCGGUUGUGACGCCAGUCGCAUCGCCGGGUAGCUAUGUUCGGAAGGGAUAACCGCUGAAAGCAUCUAAGCGGGAAGCCUACCUCAAGAUAAGAUUUCCCUAGGACUUUAUGUCCUCUAAAGAGCCGUUCGAGACUAGGACGUUGAUAGGUUGGAUGUGGAAGCAUAGUGAUAUGUGAAGCUGACCAAUACUAAUUGCU